UGUUGUUGUACUAGUUGCUUAUGGACGUUGUUUAUUGAUGUUGUUAUAAUUAUGAUGAAGUUGUCUAUCGAAGUUGUUAAAUGAUGUAGCCUAUUGACGUUGCUUAUUAUAACAUGACAUGCAUUCAUUCAUUUGUCCAAUGACGUUGCCUAUUGAAGUUGUAUAAAUGAUGUUGAAAAUGACGUUGCUUAAUGAAGUUGAAAAUGACGUUGCUUAUAAUGAUGUUGAUC
rnacentral:lncRNA from 1 species